rnacentral:rRNA from 1 species
GACGUAGGGCGCGAGCGUUUGUCCGGAUUUAUUGGGCGGAAAGAGCUCGUAGGCGGCUUGUCGCGUCGUCCGUGAAAACCCACAGCUCAACUGUGGGCUUGCGGUCGAUACGGGCAGGCUAGAGUUCGGUAGGGGGAGACUGGAAUUCCUGGUGUAGCGGUGAAAUGCGCAGAUAUCAGGAGGAACACCGGUGGCGAAGGCGGGGUCUCUGGGGCCGAUACUGACGCUGAGGGAGCGAAAAGCGUGG